GAGCAAAUCCCUAAAAGCCAUCCCAGUUCGGAUUGCAGGCUGNAACCCGCCUGUAUGAAGUUGGAAUCGCUAGUAAUCGCGGAUCAGCAUGCCGCGGUGAAUACGUUCCCGGGCCUUGUACACACCGCCCGUCACACCAUGAGAGUCGGGAACACCCGAAGUCCGUAGCCUAACCGCAAGGGGGGCGCGGCCGAAGGUGGGUUCGAUAAUUGGGGUGAAGUCGUAACAAGGUACC
rnacentral:rRNA from 1 species